UCUCUCUCUCUCUCUUUCCCACGUCUCCUCUCCCUUCCAUCUUUAUCUCUCUCUCCCUUUCUGUUGCAUGUCUCCUCCCAUUUCAUCCUUAUCUCUAUCUCCCUCUUUGUUUCGUCUUUGUUCCUCUUCUUUAUCUCUCCCUUCUCUCCGACUGCAGAAAAAUAUUUCAGUUUCAGAUUUUGCCUUCAAAGGCUUGCGAAGAAAGCAGAAAAAUAUUUCAGAAAACCCUUUGCUUUGAAUUGCGAUUUCAGAUUUUGCCUUCAAAGGCUUGCGAAGAAAGCAGAAAAAUAUUUCAGGUUGGAUUUUCCUCAUCUUGCAAACCAGGGCAGUUGGGGAAGUAAAAACACCCCUGUGAAAGGAACUCUUGGAGGGUCAUUGGGCCGACAGAAA